AUUAAAAAUAAUUAGUUAGGAGUGAGUGGGCAAUACUGAAUCUUGAGAGUCUUUCCAGUUCUUUAAUGAGGGCGCAACUUGAAUUGGCAUUGCCAUCCUCCCUGUGUUUCUGCAUAAUGUUGUGCGCACGGAUCGGAUCGUACCCGAAAUAUCCCCAUGUUUACUUAGCCUUGAGAGGCAAGUCAAAGCCGACAUGACGGUUAGAAAAUCAAGAUAUUAAGUAUGUAAUACCGCUGGCUUCAGUCCGUUGCUCACGCUUGAGUGCCCAGCACUUUUCCACCAAGCCAUGGCCGUGGGGGCUGGUUGCAUUCUUCCUUGCCUGCAGGUUGCGAUGACAACACGAUUCCUGUUCCAUGUGCCCAUCUACUAUCCAUUAGGUUUCUGUUUUUGUGUGUGUAUUCUCAUCUCCUCUUCCAGUUCCAAACAUGAUCUUAGUAUUUGACAUUCAUCCAAAUUGAAAGGAAAAUCUGAAAGUAGAUCCUUCAAAAUUAACUCUUUUUCAAAAGAAAAAGAAAAACCUAAGAUCGUGUGUGUAACUGGAAGAGGAGACAAGAGAAUAAUGGAUCGUAAAUCGGCACAUGGGACAGGAAUCGUGCUGUCGCCGCAGCCAGGAAGAAUGCAACCAUAAUGAAAGAGAUGAGAACAGGAUCUGAAUCAGAUUAUUAGUAGAGGACCGCGGUGUCAAUUGCCCUUUGCACCUCCGAGAAAAGUGAUCCCAUAUCUUUUUUGAAUAGCUUGAAUUUCCCAUCAAGCAUUCACAAUGUUGGAACAUUUUGCAUUAGGAAUCCUGCUUAUUCACAAAAUUUGAUGGGUGAUCUGAAACUUAGCAUUUGCAACAUUUCACCUGCAAUAUCUUGCUUCAUUUUCAGCUAAUUGGUAACUACUGGCAACACUGUGUAACAUGAUAGGAAUCUGUUUUCAUUUCAAAAUGCGACCUCUAAAGUUAUAUCUUUUUAAUAUACUGGUACUUGCAAUGCCCUGAUCAUGUUUGCUGGACAAUAUCGUGGUGUCAUUUUUUUAUGAGCUUCUAUUGAUUGUGCUGGAUUGGGAGUGUAAUUAUAAAUGCUUGAAUGUGUUCACAAAUUUAAUACCACCCACAGAUUUAUCCUCUCUUUUUUUUCAUUCUCAAGUUAUGCAUUUUGUACCACAUCUUAGUGCUUUUCAGAAACUAUUGACGAAAAUUCCGGGAUCAAAUAUGAGCAUGCGUAAAAAAAUGUGGGCAUUAACUGUAUUUCAAUUAUUUAUCUCUAAUAAUCAUUUGAGAUUCAAGCAGUUUGAGAACAUAUCUGGGAUUUGUUAGCAUGUAGCUAAACUUUGUGGUUACAUAAAUCUUGCCGGCAUAUAUCAAAUUUCCUUUCUUAGUUUUAAUAGGCAUUUUGUGAAUGGAUACUAUAAUUGGGCUUUGACUCAUGAUUUUGUUCCAUGUUUAGGUGAUUCCUCUUGUUGACUGAUUCAAAAACAUGAUUUAAAUUUGUAAAUUUGAAUUUGACUCAUCAUAUUGUAACGUGUCUUGAUGUUCCCUAUUGCUGACUGAUUCACACUCAUGAUUUAACCUGGAGAAGUUCUUCCUCUUCAUAUCGGUCGUUAAAAAGCCAUGAUUGGGUCCUCUUGUGUGCUUUAAGUUACAUAGAAUGAUUUCUGGUCUUUGUGUGUUGGGGGGGAGGGGGUUAUCUUUGUCUUUGCUACUUGUUGGGUGAUUUCUGUGGGUUUAUCUUUGUGCUUUAUGUUCAAUAAAAACGAUAUAAUAUACUUGUGAAUUUCAACUGCUCAAAUUUAAUUUAUUUUUUGGUUUCAUUCCACGUCCUUUGUGUCUUUGUGUGUAUUUUUACAAUAUUUAGGAUUUUAGGGUUUGUACACAAUUAUUUCUUUCUUGUUUAAAAUUUAUGUUGGAUUUUGUUUGUAUGUGUCUUUAAUACAAGUUUCUUUUGAGUUCUGUAUCAUUAUGCUGUACAGCUCUAUAAAUUCAUAUAUUUUAAUAUUUCAUGCUUGUAGUGCGCUUUUGAAUAUCCUAUUCUCAUUCAGUUUUGGGAGGGUAUAUGGGUGGAUGAGGUUUCAUUAGAGUUGUUAUUUCCUCGUCUGUUCGGGCUGUCUUCCAUUCAUAAUGCCUCGAUUAAUGAAUUUUAUUCUUUGGAGAGGGACUCUUUUUCUUGGGGAAUUAUCUUUUUGUGUAGAGAAUGUUGCUCUUUUGCACAUCAAGUGAGGAAUGACUCUAGGAUUUGGACUAGGGAUGCUAGUGGUUCUUUUACUACAUAAUCUUUCUUCUCUCGUUUGUUGAAGACCUCGAGCUCUAUAUCUUUCUCCUUGAAUAAUUUUAUUUGAUGAAAGGCAAAGGCUCCUUUUCAGAUCAUGGCUUUCUUGUGGGCUUUGGAUCUGCUUUGUACUAAUGAUUUAUUGUUGGUAAGAAGGUUCUAUUAAGCUAUUAGCUCGCUUAUUUGCAUUAUGUUUUCAGAGUUGGGUGAAACUAAUGAGCAUCUGUUUCUCCAUUGUUGAGUGGCUAUGCAGCUUUGGGCCAAUCUGUUCUUAGCUUUUGAUGAUGCAAUGGUGCUGCCACAAAUUGUUGAUGUUUUUUUCUUUGUGCAGUGGCAGGGUUUUGGGAGUAAGAGAGGGAUGGUUUUGUGGAAAUGUACUAUUUUUACUCUUUUUUGGACUUUGUGGAUUGAAAGGGGUGCGAUGGAUUUUUAAUUGAAAAAUAAUUCCUUCCCAUUAAUUAUGAGAUAGAGUUGUUUUCCUUGCUUCCUUUUUGGUACUCUGGGUUCUUUUGGGGAGUUUUGUUGUUUGAUCUCAAGGGGGAUUGGGGGCUUUAUUGUAAAUGUUUUCUAGUUGUGUUUAAAAGGAUGUCUUAUCCUUUGUUCUUUUAAUGCUCUCACUUUUCUUUUAAUGGGUUUCUUUUUCUAUGAAAGAAGAAAAGGAAAGAAAAUUUGCCUCAUCUCA